rnacentral:rRNA from 1 species
UUAAUUGAAGAGUUUGAUCAUGGCUCAGAUUGAACGCUGGCGGCAGGCCUAACACAUGCAAGUCGAGCGGGGUUUUCGGACCUAGCGGCGGACGGGUGAGUAAUGCGUAGGAAGCUACCCGAUAGAGGGGGAUACCAGUUGGAAACGACUGUUAAUACCGCAUAAUGUCUACGGACCAAAGUGUGGGACCUUCGGGCCACAUGCUAUCGGAUGCGCCUACGUGGGAUUAGCUAGUUGGUGAGGU